rnacentral:rRNA from 1 species
AACGAACGCUGGCGGCAUGCCUAACACAUGCAAGUCGAACGAGACCUUCGGGUCCAGUGGCGCACGGGUGCGUAACGCGUGGGAACCUGCCCUUAGGUUCGGAAUAACUCCCCGAAAGGGGUGCUAAUACCGGAUAAUGUCUUCGGCCCAAAGAUUUAUCGCCUUUGGAUGGGCCCGCGUUGGAUUAGCUAGUUGGUAGGGUAAAAGCCUACCAAGGCGACGAACCAUAGCUGGUCUGAGAGGAAGAUCAGCCACACUGGGAGUGAGACACGGCCCAGACUCCUACGGGAGGCAGCAGAGGGGAAUAUUGCACAAUGGGCGAAAGCCUGAUCCAGCUAUGCCGCGUGAGUGAUGAAGGCCGUAGGGUUGUAAAGCUCUUUUACCCGGGAUGAUAAUGACAGUACCGAGAGAAUAAGCUCCGGCUAACUCCGUG